GUCUUAGACACUCAGUUUUACAAACAGUGUAAAAUGUGUCCUUUUCUUCUGAAAAUCUAGGUCAUGUCAAAUUAACUCUCAGAACCAGAGGAGCCUUGUGAAGAUGGGAGUGGAGAUGUCUCCUCCACACAGAGUUAAGGAACAAAAGUUGGAGAAGCAUCUAGAGACAGCAAUAGAGAGGGUGAAUGAUGCACUCACAGGUGGAGUAGAGGCUGGCGAGGAACAUUACAGAGAGCUCUGGG
rnacentral:lncRNA from 1 species